CCGGACCCGCGGGGAGGCGACCUGCCCUGAUGCCCACGACGACCGACCCCACCAGUACCCGCAACACCGGCGCGCACACCGUUCUCCACGACCCCA
rnacentral:tRNA from 1 species